UAGGGAAUAUUGGUAAUGUGCGAAAGCGCGAACCAGCAACGCCGCGUGCACGAUGAAGGCCUUCGGGUUGUAAAGUGCUUUUAGAGAGGAUGAGGAAGGACAGUACUUUCUGAAUAAGCCUCGGCUAACUACGUGCCAGCAGCCGCGGUAAAACGUAGGAGGCUAGCGUUAUCCGGAUUUACUGGGCGUAAAGCGCGUGCAGGUGGUUUCGUAAGUUGGAUGUGAAAGCUCCUGGCUUAACUGGGAGAGGUCGUUCAAAACUGCGAGGCUUGAGAGUGGUAGAGGGAGGUGGAAUUCCGGGUGUAGUGGUGAAAUGCGUAGAUAUCCGGAGGAACACCAGUGGCGAAAGCGGCCUCCUGGACCAUUUCUGACACUCAGACGCGAAAGCUAAGGUA
rnacentral:rRNA from 1 species